rnacentral:rRNA from 1 species
GGGCCCGCACAAGCAGUGGAGUAUGUGGUUUAAUUCGACGCAACGCGAAGAACCUUACCAGGUCUUGACAUCCGAUGACAGCUCAAGAGAUUGAGUGUUCCUUCGGGACAUCGAGACAGGUGGUGCAUGGUUGUCGUCAGCUCGUGUCGUGAGAUGUUGGGUUAAGUCCCGCAACGAGCGCAACCCUUAUCGUCAGUUACUACGCAAGAGGACUCUGGCGAGACUGCCGUUGACAAAACGGAGGAAGGUGGGGAUGACGUCAAAUCAUCAUGCCCUUUAUGACCUGGGCUACACACGUACUACAAUGGCGCUUAACAGAGAGCAGCAAAGCCGCGAGGCCAAGCGAACCUCAAAAACAGCGUCUCAGUUCGGACUGCAGGCUGCAACUCGCCUGCACGAAGCCGGAAUUGCUAGUAAUCGCGGAUCAGAAUGCCGCGGUGAAUACGUUCCCGGGCCUU